UAGGGAAUCUUCGGCAAUGGACGGAAGUCUGACCGAGCAACGCCGCGUGAGUGAAGAAGGUUUUCGGAUCGUAAAGCUCUGUUGUAAGAGAAGAACGAGUGUGAGAGUGGAAAGUUCACACUGUGACGGUAUCUUACCAGAAAGGGACGGCUAACUACGUGCCAGCAGCCGCGGUAAUACGUAGGUCCCGAGCGUUGUCCGGAUUUAUUGGGCGUAAAGCGAGCGCAGGCGGUUAGAUAAGUCUGAAGUUAAAGGCUGUGGCUUAACCAUAGUAGGCUUUGGAAACUGUUUAACUUGAGUGCAAGAGGGGAGAGUGGAAUUCCAUGUGUAGCGGUGAAAUGCGUAGAUAUAUGGAGGAACACCGGUGGCGAAAGCGGCUCUCUGGCUUGUAACUGACGCUGAGGCUCGAAAGCGUGGGGAGCAAACAGGGUUAGAUACCCUGGUAGUCCACGCCGUAAACGAUGAGUGCUAGGUGUUAGACCCUUUCCGGGGUUUAGUGCCGCAGCUAACGCAUUAAGCACUCCGCCUGGGGAGUACGACCGCAAGGUUG
rnacentral:rRNA from 1 species